rnacentral:rRNA from 1 species
AACGAACGCUGGCGGCAGGCUUAACACAUGCAAGUCGAACGCCCCGCAAGGGGAGUGGCAGACGGGUGAGUAACGCGUGGGAACGUGCCCUUCGCUUCGGAAUAGCCCCGGGAAACUGGGAGUAAUACCGAAUACGCCGUAUUGGGAAAGAUUUAUCGGCGAAGGAUCGGCCCGCGUUGGAUUAGCUAGUUGGAGGUGUAAUGGACCCCCAAGGCUACGAUCCAUAGCUGGUCUGAGAGGAUGAUCAGCCACACUGGGACUGAGACACGGCCCAGACUCCUACGGGAGGCAGCAGUGGGGAAUCUUGGACAAUGGGCGCAAGCCUGAUCCAGCCAUGCCGCGUGAGUGAAGAAGGCCUUAGGGUUGUAAAACUCUUUCGCCGGAGAAGAUAAUGACGGUAUCCGGAGAAGAAGCCCCGGCUAACUUCGUGCCAGCCGCCGCAGUAAUAC